GAGAUGAAGAGGACAGAAACUGA
rnacentral:piRNA from 1 species